rnacentral:rRNA from 1 species
AUACGUAGGGGGCGAGCGUUGUCCGGAAUUAUUGGGCGUAAAGGGCGUGUAGGCGGUCAUGCAAGUCGGCUGUGAAACCCCCCGGCUUAACCGUGGGCUUGCAGUUGAAACUGUGUGGCUUGAGUGCAGGAGAGGAGGGUGGAAUUCCUGGUGUAGCGGUGAAAUGCGUAGAUAUCAGGAGGAACACCGGUGGCGAAGGCGGCCUUCUGGCCUGUUACUGACGCUGAGGCGCGAAAGCCAGGGGAGCGAACAGGAUUAGAUACCCUGGUAGUCCUGGCUGUAAACGCUGGGUACUAGGUGUAGGUGGUUUAAUGCCAUCUGUGCCGUAGUUAACGCAUUAAGUACCCCGCCUGGGGAGUACGAUCGCAAGGUUGAA